rfam:Thalassolituus sp. HI0120 HI0120_c1606, whole genome shotgun sequence.
GCAUCCCACUGUUAAUGUGCACGGUGGUGAUGUAUUCGACUGCACAUUCAUCGGAGUAUAGACAGAUGGCAUUAUCUGCUGAAAAGAAAGCUGAGAUUGUAAACGAGUACAAAACUGCUGAA